rnacentral:pre_miRNA from 1 species
AUAGUACUCCCUCCGUCCUAAAAUUCUUGUCUUACAUUUGUUUAGAUAUGGAUGUAUCUAGUCAAGUUUUAGUAUUUAGAUACAUUCAUUUCUAGACAAAGCUAAGACAAGAAUUUUGGGACAGAGGGAGUAGUUC